GUUCCUAUAGUUGAAUACAACGAUGGUUUUUCAUAUCAUAAGUCAUGGUUUAAAUCCGUGUGGGAAUU
rfam:Heterocephalus glaber contig187009, whole genome shotgun sequence.